rnacentral:tRNA from 1 species
GGGCGAUUAGCUCAGUGGUAGAGCACUGCCUUCACACGGCAGGGGUCACUGGUUCGAACCCAGUAUCGCCCA